rnacentral:rRNA from 1 species
GACGUAGGGGACAAGCGUUGUCCGGAUUUACUGGGCGUAAAGAGCGCGCAGGCGGUCGUUCAAGUCGAGUGUGAAAGCCCCCGGCUCAACUGGGGAGGGUCAUUCGAUACUGAUCGACUCGAAGGCAGGAGAGGGAAGUGGAAUUCCCGGUGUAGUGGUGAAAUGCGUAGAUAUCGGGAGGAACACCAGUGGCGAAGGCGACUUCCUGGCCUGUUCUUGACGCUGAGGUGCGAAAGCGUGGGGAGCAAACAGG